GUGGACUCAGGCAGUGUGGGGACCAGUUCGUACGAAUUUUUCUGUUGGCAGACGCCACAUCUUGCGAUAUAUUGGACUCUUCUUACAAAGGAAAUUGACAAGGCUUGAUUAGUAGGGCCUCUCUCUGAUAAUAUCUUGUCUCUGGGCGUUCUGAACUUUGAUUCCAUCACAUCCAGCUUGAAGUUACAAGUUACGUGGCCGGGCAUUGCUAAAUGGCAGAGCAGAUAGGAGAUAGCAAGUACUAUAAGACAGAAGUGUGACUUGAGUAAACCCAGUCUUGUUUAUCAUCUAGAUCUAUGGUUUGUAAAAGUAAGGCCUUGAUAAACUGGAACUUUUGUACUGAUUGGAUGUAAAUGUGAGGCCUGUUAAGGCCUUGAGAAUACCCGAACCUUGGUACAGAUUUGGUGUAAAAAUCUUGGGCAGCAGGUAACUGCCUCUGUUGUCCGUGAACACAGGUAAAAAUAGCAAACUGAAUUUUUGAACCACAGGCCAAUCAUGACAGUCAGGAGCUUUUAGAAGUAAGUGUAAUAUGAUAGUGUGUUUUAAUCUGUAAUACUGGAAUAACACACAGGAAUAAAACAUUUUAAUAAAAAUUUUGUCAAAAGUACAAUAUCAAGAAAUAAAUUCUAUUAAAGAGCAGUCACUCACCUGUGUAAAUUGCUGAGAGUAAUGUUAAGGGAAAACUGUAAUAACCAUGAAGUACAUAUUGUGCAGGGGAUAAAUUUGUACUUGAAGGUCCCAGGGAAGUCUGGUCAAGCUUUAUAGAGUAGAAUGUGGCCCUAAAAACAGAGAAUGCUUAGUACAGUGGUAUUAUGAUGAUACAGUAUUGAAGAUAAAUCUUGAAGUUUCAUUUUGAUAUUCAUUUUAAGAUGUGAUUUGGUUAGAAAGUGGUACUACUAUUCUGUAAAUGCGUAUAGUAUUCCCAAUGUAGUGCACUAAAAAUCUGGUACAGAACUACUGGUUGGCCUGCGGAAUUUAAAUGUUGAAGUAAUAAUUUCAAGGUAUAUCAUUAAGAACUGAGAAAUUGCAUUUCAGUGGACAAAAGCCCAUUUUAGCUCCAAGACAUCUCUAAAAGAUGGUCACAGGAGUACAAAACCUGAGCACAAGACUGUCUGCAAAGCAGGUUAGCUUUUAAUUUAUCAUAACCAAGUGUGCAAUAUGUGGGGCUGUGUGGCAACUUAAUGUGAUGUUAAGUGAAUAAAGUUAAAUGUACAGCGUAGACUCUGUCUAGUUAACUAAUUGACGAAUGUUUAAAUUCUAGUGGGGAAAACAGUCCUAGAGUAUUAUAAGAAUAAGAAGUAACUCAACAGACAGGCGACUCAUUUCUCAAGAUGGGGAGCAUUUUGAAUACCAUUUUCAGACUUGAAAUGCUAAAAAUUUUGAGAAAGUAAUGGAUGAACUUUCAAGUCUAGGACUGUAUUUGCAUGGCUGGAGUAACUGAGUCAGUGUUUGGAUAUGAAAGCUCACAGAUUGUUUACAAUCAGUGUCCCUGUUAGUUACUGAGCCCUGUAUAUAAGAUAUUAAUUCCUGGUUGUAGGUGAUGGUGCCCAUAUUUUGCCACUUUACAAAUAAGAAAACCUAGGCUUUCAAUUACCCAGAUUUCGUCUUUUCGGGUGAUCCACAUUCUAGAAGUUUAUUGCAACUGUCAGCAAGAGAAAUUCAGUGACAAUGUGUCCUUUACCUUAAUAAAAGGGGCCCAGGUACAGGUCUGGCUGUAGUUAAUUGUGACUUGAGUUUAAUAUUUUGUAAGCAAAGACAUUUUGAAGUAGACGUGAGAUGAUAAUGAGGUUCUUAUUUUUACAGAAAUUCGUAAUUUGUGAAGUGGACUUUGACAUCUGAUUUAAUUAACAUCACAAGAUUCUUCCUAAAGAAGCAUUCUUCUGUACCUUUUUAUUAUUAGGCUUGUAUAAUUGGUCAACUUAAUAAAUAUGUUAAUGGUAGAGAAUGGUCAGUAAAAUAUCUUGGUAUAAGAUACAGUUUCGAAUUUUAAUUUUUCAUCAGUUUAAUGGCAGCUAUAAAAUAGUUUGGUAGGGUUUAGGAUGGACAGAGUUCAAUUAAAUUCCUUACA